rnacentral:rRNA from 1 species
UACGUAGGGUGCAAGCGUUGUCCGGAAUUAUUGGGCGUAAAGAGCUCGUAGGCGGUCUGUCGCGUCGGCUGUGAAAUCCCGAGGCUCAACCUCGGGUCUGCAGUCGAUACGGGGCAGACUAGAGUGUGGUAGGGGAGACUGGAAUUCCUGGUGUAGCGGUGGAAUGCGCAGAUAUCAGGAGGAACACCGAUGGCGAAGGCAGGUCUCUGGGCCAUUACUGACACUGAGAAGCGAAAGCAUGGGGAGCGAACAGG